GCAAGGUCUAUUAAUAUUAAGGCUUUGGCAGCAGCAAAGAGCAUCACUAGUAGACGUUCUUGUAAAGUUUGUAGCAUUUUAAUUGGAUCCCAAGAACUUGUUAACAUGAAUGGAUAAAAAGAAUGUAUGGAUACAGGUAAUCCCUGAGUUAUGACAGUUCAUUUAGUGACUGUUUAAAAUUAGGACAUAACCCCAAGUACUUACGAAACAAUCAGAAAUUACGAAAGUUGCAGCACCAUGGCAAUCGUUCACACUUAUGAACGACCGCAGAGGCUCUGCAACAUUUGCCCUGCUUAUUCCCACACACACCUGGCCACUUUUAGUCACAACUAUUAGCCUGUCUCCACAGGCACUAGGUCUGUGGCUAUUCACCUUGUGAAGAUCUAGCAAACCUUUGGUUUCUUGGUCUACUUUGUGUUUCAGUACAGCUUUCCCAGGCUCCAUUCUCGUCGGCAAAGGCUUUUUGCAAAAAUGACUGGAGCCUAUAGGGACACAAUCUCUCAUCCCUGUAGGCCCCAGCAAGCCUUUGCUCAAGGCAUAACCACAGCAGAAAGGCUGGAGAAGGGACAACUCUGUUGAUCAUCAAGAUCUACAUAAGGAUUCAGCCUUCCAUACCAAAAGAAAAGAUGCAAUGAACUUCCUUUCUACAUGUCCAGAUGCAAAUUCUGAACACAGCUGCUUGCAACAUCCUAGAAGUGGCAAGUUACAGGGGUCACUGUAUUCUGCCAGUUAAAACUCUGGCUGGCCUCCAGCAAAAUUGGAUGACAGAAAGCUUGAGACUCUCAGAUCAUUUCAUAUGGCUAUCAAGAAGGCCUCAGAUGUGAAGCUCAAAGGAAAAGAGAACCCAGAAAUGACAAAGUGUUAACAAUAAACAAACCAGCUUAUUUAUUGGGAGCUGGAAGUACAAAAUCACAAUGUAAAGUGAAGACCUUACAUAUUUCAAGGAAGAAAUGCCCAUCUGGCAUUGUAU